AUUGAACGCUGGCGGAAUGCUUUACACAUGCAAGUCGAACGGCAGCACGGACUUCGGUCUGGUGGCGAGUGGCGAACGGGUGAGUAAUAUAUCGGAACGUGCCCAGUCGUGGGGGAUAACGUAGCGAAAGCUACGCUAAUACCGCAUACGAUCUAAGGAUGAAAGCGGGGGAUCGCAAGACCUCGCGCGAUUGGAUCGGCAGAUAUCAGAUUAGGUAGUGGGUGAGGUAAAGGCCCACCAAGCCGACGAUCUGUAGCUGGUCUGAGAGGACGCCCAGCCACACUGGGACUGAGACACGGCCCAGACUCCUACGGGAGGCAGCAGUGGGGAAUUUUGGACAAUGGACGCAAGUCUGAUCCAGCCAUUCCGCGUGCAGGACGAAGGCCUUCGGGUUGUAAACUGCUUUUGUACAGAACGAAAUGGUCUCUAUUAAUACUAGGGGCUCAUGACGGUACUGUAAGAAUAAGCACCGGCUAACUACGUGCCAGCCGCCGCCGUAA
rnacentral:rRNA from 1 species